rnacentral:rRNA from 1 species
GAUGAACGCUAGCUACAGGCUUAACACAUGCAAGUCGAACGGUAGCACAGAGAGCUUGCUCUCGGGUGACGAGUGGCGGACGGAUGAGUAACGUCUGGGAAACUGCCCGAUGGAGGGGGAUAACUACUGGAAACGGUAGCUAAUACCGCAUAACGUCGCAAGACCAAAGUGGGGGACCUUCAGGCCUCACACCAUCGGAUGUGCCCAGAUGGGAUUAGCUAGUAGGUGGGGUAAUGGCUCACCUAGGCGACGAUCCCUAGCUGGUCUGAGAGGAUGACCAGCCACACUGGAACUGAGACACGGUCCAGACUCCUACGGGAGGCAGCAGUGGGGAAUAUUGCACAAUGGGCGCAAGCCUGAUGCAGCCAUGCCGCGUGUAUGAAGAAGGCCUUCGGGUUGUAAAGUACUUUCAGCGGGGAGGAAGGUGUUGUGGUUAAUAACCGCAGCAAUUGACGUUACCCGCAGAAGAAGCACCGGCUAACUCCGUGCCAGCCGCCGCAGUAA